AACACCAUAAGCAAAGGCCCGAUACUGUGUUAAGCAACAAUGAGUUUGUUUGUCCUGGAAGCCUGUCUGCUAGGGGACAGUGACUACAUUCCAGGGACUUAGAGAGGAAAGGCUGAAAUGCUGAGGACAUCAAACUUGCUGCUGCCUGCAGUGGGAGCCACUGUAGAUCCUGGAGGACAGAGAUCUAGUGUCUGCUCUGCUGUGUGCUAAGGACUCUGAAGAUUACACCAAGUGCCAUCCUUGCUAAGGAAGACCCCACAGGAAAGCAGACAGUGGGGCAAAAAUAAGAUGGGAUGUUUAUUGUUUCCUUGCCAUGCUGAGCUGGAAUUCUUAAACUGUGGGGAACCUGGAAUCUACUAGGUUCGUGUGAAGAGUGCCCAGCCACCACCCCUCCGGGCUGCUGUCGCUAGUCCUUAGGUGCCCCUCAUGUAGUUUUCCUGGAAGAAAAUACAGGCUGAAUUUCAGAUAAUGAAUAUCAUAGUAUAACUAUGUUUCAAAUGUUAUAACUUUAAGAAUAACUUACAGGACAUACCCUAGAAUAUUUAUUUAUAUGAAAU